CCAGUGUUGUCUUAAUAUGUAAAGUCGUCGAGUAAAUAAACGAAUAGUUUCAGAUCAUUAAUAUUGCUCGUGUGUGUGUCUCUCUCUGGUCCAAGUCUUCUCUUUUAUCGUACAAGAAGCAAUGGCUUCUAACAUGAAAUAAGAGCAUAAAACCAACAAGCUAAGAUCAAGUCAACAAAACUCAAAAAAUGAUCAAACAAAGAAUCACUGAUUUUCAUUUCAUGAUUGGUUUUCUUUCCAUUCG